GUCACGCGAGCACCGGCGCUCCGGGCCGGGCUUGUAGCAACCGAAGUCGACGAGGUAGACGGAGCGCGGGCGGGUGAGGAAGUAGACGGUGGAGAGGAAAACGAGGAGCGUGGAGCAGGCGAUGACGGAGAGGAGGUUGAAGCGGAGGUGCGUCCACAGGUCUGCGACGUCGCCCGGAGAGAGCGUGGAGAGGUGGACGGCGAUGAGCACGAUGAGUGGGGUCAGCAGGAGGUACAUGCCGUGGGUGAUGAGGUAGUGGUACCCCAGCUUAACGUACUUGAGCCGCACCGACUGCAGGAAGUCCGGCAGGCGACGCGACGGCGACGGCGAGCUCGCGCGUUCGCCGGCGUUGGCACCGGCCGGCGGCGUGCUGUCCUCC
rnacentral:lncRNA from 1 species